rnacentral:rRNA from 1 species
AUUGAACGCUGGCGGCAUGCCUUACACAUGCAAGUCGAACGGUAACGGGCCUUCGGGUGCCGACGAGUGGCGAACGGGUGAGUAAUACAUCGGAACGUGCCCGAUCGUGGGGGAUAACGAGGCGAAAGCUUUGCUAAUACCGCAUACGAUCUACGGAUGAAAGAAGGGGACCGCAAGGCCUUGCGCGGACGGAGCGGCCGAUGGCAGAUUAGGUAGUUGGUGGGAUAAAAGCUUACCAAGCCGACGAUCUGUAGCUGGUCUGAGAGGAUGAUCAGCCACACUGGGACUGAGACACGGCCCAGACUCCUACGGGAGGCAGCAGUGGGGAAUUUUGGACAAUGGGCGCAAGCCUGAUCCAGCCAUGCCGCGUGCAGGAUGAAGGCCUUCGGGUUGUAAACUGCUUUUGUACGGAACGAAAAGCCUUCUUUUAAUACAGGAGGGUCAUGACGGUACCGUAAGAAUAAGCACCGGCUAACUACGUG